UACGAAGGGACCUAGCGUAGUUCGGAAUUACUGGGCUUAAAGAGUUCGUAGGUGGUUGAAAAAGUUGGUGGUGAAAUCCCAGAGCUUAACUCUGGAACUGCCAUCAAAACUUUUCAGCUAGAGUAUGAUAGAGGAAAGCAGAAUUUCUAGUGUAGAGGUGAAAUUCGUAGAUAUUAGAAAGAAUACCAAUUGCGAAAGCAGCUUUCUGGAUCAUUACUGACACUGAGGAACGAAAGCAUGGGUAGCGAAGAGGAUUAGAUACCCUCGUAGUCCAUGCCGUAAACGAUGUGUGUUAGACGUUGGAAAUUUAUUUUCAGUGUCGCAGCGAAAGCGAUAAACACACCGCCUGGGGAGUACGACCGCAAGGUUAAAACUCAAAUGAAUUGACGGGGACCCGCACAAGUAGUGGAGCAUGUGGUUUAAUUCGAAGAUACGCGCAGAACCUUACCAACACUUGACAUGUUCGUCGCGACUCUAAGAGAUUAGAGUUUUCGGUUCGGCCGGACGAAACACAGGUGCUGCAUGGCUGUCGUCAGCUCGUGUCGUGAGAUGUUGGGUUAAGUCCCGCAACGAGCGCAACCCUCACUUUUAGUUGCCAUCAUUAAGUUGGGCACUCUGAAAGAACUGCCAGUGAUAAGCUGGAGGAAGGUGGGGAUGACGUCAAGUCCUCAUGGCCCUUACGUGUUGGGCUACACACGUGCUACAAUGGUAUCUACAACAGGAAGCAAGACGGCGACGUUAAGCAAAUCCUUAAAAGAUACCUCAGUUCGGAUUGCACUCUGCAACUCGAGUGCAUGAAGCUGGAAUUACUAGUAAUCGUGGAUCAGCGUGCCACGGUGAAUGCGUUCCCGGGUCU
rnacentral:rRNA from 1 species